rnacentral:rRNA from 1 species
UACGUAGGCAGCGAGCGUUGUUCGGAAUUACUGGGCGUAAAGGGUGUGUAGGCGGUUGGAUAAGUGUGGUGUGAAAUCUCCCGGCUCAACUGGGAGGGUGCGCUACAAACUGUCUGACUAGAGUGCGGGAUGGGAAAGUGGAAUUCCUGGUGUAGCGGUGAAAUGCGUAGAUAUCAGGAGGAACACCGGUGGUGUAGACGGCUUUCUGGACCGUAACUGACGCU